UUAAUUCUCAUGUAUGUUCAGACGCAAACGCUUAUCAGCAUAAAUGCGGCGCCGGAGCGCCGAAGCACGGGUUGCUUCCACAGGUUUGAAGGUUGAAGGCCGAAGCCAUUCAGUAAUGAUCCCUCCGCAGGUUCACCUACGGAGA
rnacentral:misc_RNA from 1 species